ensembl:lncRNA
GUGCUUGGGGAUAAAAGGGAGCAUGCAACCACAUGGAGGGAAGCCUACUAUGGAGUGCCUCUGCGGGAGCCUCUGUGAACUGUGUGUGGCCAAAGAGUGCAGGAAACCUGAACAUUGACGGAUUAUUUGUGUACCGACCGCUUUGUGUGAGAACCCUCCCGGUGACGACCCCUGGACUACGGACUACUGACUCUAGAUUACCCUUUUCCCCACCCUGCCCAGAGAUGAUGAGAUUGAGACGGGGGACCACGGACCAGGAGGCUGACUCAUCCAUCCCAGCCAUGCAUCAAACCGUGUUGCGGCGACUGGACUGGAUGCCUGGACUCUCCUCAUGGUUAACCGGCCAGCACCACAUCACCAUUUUAAUAUGAUGUGCAUGUAUUUAC